rnacentral:rRNA from 1 species
UACGUAGGUGGCAAGCGUUGUCCGGAUUUACUGGGCGUAAAGCGCGUGUAGGCGGCCCUGCAAGUCGGAUGUGAAAUCCCACGGCUCAACCGUGGAAGUGCAUUCGAAACUGCAGGGCUAGAGUCCUGGAGAGGAAGGUGGAAUGCUUGGUGUAGAGGUGAAAUUCGUAGAUAUCAAGCGGAACACCGGUGGCGAAGGCGGCCUUCUGGACAGUGACUGACGCUGAGACGCGAAAGCGUGGGGAGCAAACAGG